rnacentral:rRNA from 1 species
UACGGAGGGCGCGAGCGUUGUCCGGAAUCACUGGGCGUAAAGGGCGCGUAGGCGGCCCUGGUAAGUCUGCGGUGAAAGCCCGGGGCUCAACCCCGGGUCGGCCGCGGGUACUGCCGGGCUGGAGUGCCGUAGGGGCAGGCGGAAUUCCGGGUGUAGCGGUGGAAUGCGUAGAGAUCCGGAAGAACACCGGUGGCGAAGGCGGCCUGCUGGGCAGUAGCUGACACUGAGGCGCGACAGCGUGGGGAGCAAACAGG